CAUAGAUUUCAUUGCUGAGUGAUACUGCAUUGUACUUAGAUUCAUCAUACCUGAAUCCACUCAUUAUGCUGCUACGGGCCUGAUGACAUAGAUUUCAUUGCUGAGUGAUACUGCAUUGUACUUAGAUUCAUCAUACCUGAAUCCACUCAUUAUGCUGCUACGGGCCUGAUGACAUAGAUUUCAUUGCUGAGUGAUACUGCAUUGUACUUAGAUUCAUCAUACCUGAAUCCACUCAUUAUGCUGCUACGGGCCUGAUGACAUAGAUUUCAUUGCUGAGUGAUACUGCAUUGUACUUAGAAUCAUCAUACCUGAAUCCACUCAUUGUGCUGCUAUGGGCCUGAUGACAUAGAUUUCAUUGCUGAGUGAUAUUGCAUUGUACGUAAGUACCACAACUUCUUUAUCCAGUUUUCACUUUCUGUGAUAUUGAACUUGUACCGUAAACGAGGUUCUUGUAA